ACUCCUACGGGAGGCAGCAGUGGGGAAUCUUGCGCAAUGGGCGAAAGCCUGACGCAGCAACGCCGCGUGCGGGAUGACGGCCUUCGUGGUUGUAAACCGCUUUCAGCAGGGACGAAAAUAGACGGUACCUGCAGAAGAAGUCCGGCUAACUACGUGCCAGCAGCCGCGGUAAUACGUAGGGGACAAGCGUUGUCCGGAUUCAUUGGGCGUAAAGAGCUCGUAGGCGGUCUAGUAAGUUGGGUGUGAAAGCUCCGGGCUCAACCCGGAGAGGUCACCCAAAACUGCUAUGACUAGAGUCCAGUAGAGGAGCGUGGAAUUCCUGGUGUAGCGGUGAAAUGCGCAGAUAUCAGGAGGAACACCAGCAGCGAAGGCGGCGCUCUGGGCUGGAACUGACGCUGAGGAGCGAAAGCAUGGGUAGCAAACAGGAUUAGAUACCCUGGUAGCGACUGA
rnacentral:rRNA from 1 species